AUUGACAGGAUGAGAUGAACGAGCUCCUCCUGAACCUUCAUUUAGAGCCUCAUUUAAAUACAGAAUGAGUUCAUUUGCAUAUUGAUCAGAUGCUUCAGUGCUCUGAGAGUGUUUAUAGUGCUGUGAGUUUAACACUUCAUCACUGACACACACAACAAUCUUCAUCAACAUGACCUUCAUCAUCAUCUGGAUGCUCUUAUACUGCUUUAUUCUACAAGGCGGUAGAGCUCAGAUCACAGUGACUCAGACUGCGGUGAAAACUGCAACACCAGGAGAAACUGUUGAGAUGAGCUGUAAACUCAGUAGAGCUGCUACAGACUGCAGCCCAGCCUGUGUGUCCUGGUACUUACAGAAACCUGGAGAAGCUCCUAAACUCCUGAUUUAUAGAACAAGCACCCUCCAGUCAGGAACUCCAUCUAGAUUCAGUGGCAGUGGAUCUAACAGUGAUUUCACUCUGACCAUCAGUGGAGUCCAGACUGAAGAUGCUGGACAUUAUUACUGUCAGAGUUAUCACUACAUCAACAGUAAUUAUGUGUUCACACAGUGAUAAAGAGUCGUACAAAAACCUCCGUCAGUCAGAGUCACAGUGACUGAACUGAUACUGCAGCUGCUCACACACUUUCACACACUUUCACACACACUCAACAGUGCAGAAACACAAAUAUGAUCUUAAUAUCAGCUUUGUUGAGCU